rnacentral:rRNA from 1 species
CCUACGGGAGGCAGCAGUGGGGAAUAUUGGACAAUGGGGGGAACCCUGAUCCAGCGACGCCGCGUGAGUGAAGAAGUAUUUCGGUAUGUAAAGCUCUAUCAGCAGGGAAGAAAGAAAUGACGGUACCUGACUAAGAAGCCCCGGCUAACUACGUGCCAGCAGCCGCGGUAAUACGUAGGGGGCAAGCGUUAUCCGGAUUUACUGGGUGUAAAGGGAGCGUAGACGGCGAUGCAAGUCUGAAGUGAAAGGCGGGGGCCCAACCCCCGGACUGCUUUGGAAACUGUAUGGCUGGAGUGAAGGAGAGGUAAGUGGACUUCCUAGUGUAGCGGUGAAAUGCGUAGAUAUUAGGAGGAACACCAGUGGCGAAGGCGGCUUACUGGACUGUAACUGACGUUGAGGCUCGAAAGCGUGAGGAGCAAACAGGAUUAGAUACCCCGGUAGUC